GAUGAACGCUGGCGGCGUGCCUAAUACAUGCAAGUCGAGCGAACAGACGAGGAGCUUGCUCCUCUGACGUUAGCGGCGGACGGGUGAGUAACACGUGGAUAACCUACCUAUAAGACUGGGAUAACUUCGGGAAACCGGAGCUAAUACCGGAUAAUAUAUUGAACCGCAUGGUUCAAUAGUGAAAGACGGUUUUGCUGUCACUUAUAGAUGGAUCCGCGCCGCAUUAGCUAGUUGGUAAGGUAACGGCUUACCAAGGCAACGAUGCGUAGCCGACCUGAGAGGGUGAUCGCCCACACGGGAACUGAGACACGGUCCAGACUCCUACGGGAGGCAGCAGUAGGGAAUCUUCCGCAAUGGGCGAAAGCUUGACGGAGCAACGCCGCGUGAGUGAUGAAGGUCUUCGGAUCGUAAAACUCUGUUAUUAGGGAAGAACAAAUGUGUAAGUAACUAUGCACGUCUUGACGGUACCUAAUCAGAAAGCCACGGCUAACUACGUG
rnacentral:rRNA from 1 species